rnacentral:tRNA from 1 species
GCCGACAUAGUUUAAAAAACACUAGAUUGUGAUUCUAGAGAUAAGGGUUAAACUCCCUUUGUCAGCU